AACGGCCAUACCAUGCUGAAUAUACUGGUUCUCGUCAAGUUAGUCAAGCAUCAUUAGGUGCGGUCAGUACUUGGGUGGGUGACCACAUGGGAACACAGUGUGCCGUU